AGAAUCAACGCUGGCGGCGUGCCUAACACAUGCAAGUCGAACGAGAAAGUGGAGCAAUCCAUGAGUAAAGUGGCGACCGGGUGAGUAACACGUGACUAACCUACCUUCGAGUGGGGGAUAACCUCGGGAAACCGAGGCUAAGUACCGCAUAACAUCGCAAGAUCAAAGCAGCAAUGCGCUGGAAGAGGGGGUCGCGGCAGAUUAGCUAGUUGCGGGUAAUGGCCCACCAAGGCGAUGAUCUGUA
rnacentral:rRNA from 1 species